GCCCGUUUGGUCUAGGGGUAUGAUACCACAUUCGGGUUGUGGUGGCCGCCGGUUCAAAUCCGGCAACGGGCC
rnacentral:tRNA from 3 species